UACGUAGGGUGCAAGCGUUAAUCGGAAUUACUGGGCGUAAAGCGUGCGCAGGCGGCUUUGCAAGACAGAUGUGAAAUCCCCGGGCUCAACCUGGGAACUGCAUUUGUGACUGCAAGGCUAGAGUACGGCAGAGGGGGAUGGAAUCCGCGUGUAGCAGUGAAAUGCGUAGAUAUGCGGAGGAACACCGAUGGCGAAGGCAAUCCCCUGGGCCUGCACUGACGCUCAUGCACGAAAGCGUGGGGAGCAACAGG
rnacentral:rRNA from 1 species